GGGAGCCAAAUGGGACAGAGCUCGCCUGUGUGGGGUCCCUGGCCCCAUCUCAAACAGCCACAACUCAGCCCACCUCCAACACCCAUCAGGCCCCUGGCCCAUGGCAGAGGUUGGGCCCUAUGCCGGAUGCUGGAGGAUAAAGCAUUGUCACUGUCUGAAGGGAUCUUACAUACAGAUGAGAGCAGCAGGCAGGCGGGAGCUGUGGGAGCCUAGGGGACAUGCCUGCAACACUUGGGGUGAGGAAGGAUCCGGAAGCAUCCUGAAGAAUUACACCUGAGCCAGUGGGUCUGCAACGUGGCGCCAGCCAGGGAAGUGGGCGAGGGUAAGCUAAGCAGAGGCUACGGCACCAGCAAAGGCGUGAAAGUGAGAAAGGCCACCAUGUGUACAAGAAAGUCACACGCAGCUCAACGUUCUUGGACAAGGAGUGCAAAGCAGGGAAUGGAGAUGGGAUGAGGCAGAAGGGUCCAGCAGGGGCUGGAGUCGCCAAUUACCUCAUUCAUUCAUGUAAUAACUUACGGAGUCGUUGUUCUGGCCAAGCACUGUGGUAGGCUCUGGGAACAGGGCUGAGAUCUAGCCACUGUUCCUGCCUUCACAGAGCACAGUGUGGGCAUGGGGCUUAGGGGCCAGCAGGAGACAGACAUCAAGCCAUUACACAAGUCACCACACACUCUGGCCAUCAGGGCUGCAAGGCAGGUGCUCGAGCAGAAGGAACAGCCCGAGGCCCAGGGCUGUGCACCAGGGGGUGAAGGAAGUAACAGAUGGCUCCAGCUGGGUGAGCAUGGGCAGAAAGGGGUG
rnacentral:lncRNA from 10 species